rnacentral:rRNA from 1 species
UACAGAGGAGCCAAGCGUUGUCCGGAUUGACUGGGCGUAAAGCGCACGUAGUCGGCUUUGCAAGUCGGGUGUGAAAUCCCCGGGCUCAACCUGGGAACUGCAUCCGAGACUGCAUUGCUAGAGUAUGGGAGAGGGAAGCGGAAUUUCUGGUGUAGCAGUGAAAUGCGUAGAUAUCAGAAGGAACAUCAGUGGCGAAGGCGGCUUCCUGGACCAAUACUGACGAUCAGGUGCGAAAGCGUGGGGAGCAAACAGG